rnacentral:rRNA from 1 species
AGAGUUUGAUCCUGGCUCAGGACGAACGCUGGCGGCGCGCCUAACACAUGCAAGUCGAACGAGCGAGAGAGAGCUUGCUUUCUCGAGCGAGUGGCGAACGGGUGAGUAACGCGUGAGGAACCUGCCUCAAAGAGGGGGACAACAGUUGGAAACGACUGCUAAUACCGCAUAAGCCCACGGGUCGGCAUCGACCAGAGGGAAAAGGAGCAAUCCGCUUUGAGAUGGCCUCGCGUCCGAUUAGCUAGUUGGUGAGGUAACGGCCCACCAAGGCGACGAUCGGUAGCCGGACUGAGAGGUUGAACGGCCACAUUGGGACUGAGACACGGCCCAGACUCCUACGGGAGGCAGCAGUGGGGAAUAUUGCACAAUGGGGGAAACCCUGAUGCAGCGACGCCGCGUGGAGGAAGAAGGUCUUCGGAUUGUAAACUCCUGUUGUUGAGGAAGAUAAUGACGGUACUCAACAAGGAAGUGACGGCUAACUACGUGCCAGCAGCCGCGGUAAAACGUAGGUCACAAGCGUUGUCCGGAAUUACUGGGUGUAAAGGGAGCGCAGGCGGGAAGACAAGUUGGAAGUGAAAUCCAUGGGCUCAACCCAUGAACUGCUUUCAAAACUGUUUUUCUUGAGUAGUGCAGAGGUAGGCGGAAUUCCCGGUGUAGCGGUGGAAUGCGUAGAUAUCGGGAGGAACACCAGUGGCGAAGGCGGCCUACUGGGCACCAACUGACGCUGAGGCUCGAAAGUGUGGGUAGCAAACAGGAUUAGAUACCCUGGUAGUCCACACCGUAAACGAUGAUUACUAGGUGUUGGAGGAUUGACCCCUUCAGUGCCGCAGUUAACACAAUAAGUAAUCCACCUGGGGAGUACGACCGCAAGGUUGAAACUCAAAGGAAUUGACGGGGGCCCGCACAAGCAGUGGAGUAUGUGGUUUAAUUCGACGCAACGCGAAGAACCUUACCAAGUCUUGACAUCCUGCGACGGUUCUGGAAACAGAACUUUCCUUCGGGACGCAGAGACAGGUGGUGCAUGGUUGUCGUCAGCUCGUGUCGUGAGAUGUUGGGUUAAGUCCCGCAACGAGCGCAACCCUUAUGGUCAGUUACUACGCAAGAGGACUCUGGCCAGACUGCCGUUGACAAAACGGAGGAAGGUGGGGAUGACGUCAAAUCAUCAUGCCCUUUAUGACUUGGGCUACACACGUACUACAAUGGCGUUAAACAAAGAGAAGCAAGACCGCGAGGUGGAGCAAAACUCAGAAACAACGUCCCAGUUCGGACUGCAGGCUGCAACUCGCCUGCACGAAGUCGGAAUUGCUAGUAAUCGUGGAUCAGCAUGCCACGGUGAAUACGAACCCGGGCCUUGCACUCACCGCCCGUCA